GACGAACGCUGGCGGCCUGCUUAACACAUGCAAGUCGAACGAUGAAAUGGAGCUUGCUCCAUGGAUUAGUGGCGAACGGGUGAGUAACACGUGAAUAACCUGCCCUUAAUUUUGGAAUAACCCAGGGAAUCCUGGGCUAAUACCGGAUAAGUAAACCUGUGGCAUCACAUGGUUUUGGAAAGUUUUUCGAUUAAGGAUGGAUUCGCGGCCUAUCAGCUUGUUGGUGAGGUAAUGGCUCACCAAGGCGACGACGGGUAGCCGGCCUGGGAGGGGGAACGGCCAACAACGGAGUGAGACACGGCCCACACUCCGUCGGGAGGGAGAAGUGGGGAAUAGUGCGCGAUGGACGAACGUCGGACGCAGCGACGCCUAGUGAGGGACGAAGGUCUUCGGAUUGUAAACCUCUUUCAGCAGGGACGAAGCGAAAGUGACGGUACCUGCAGAAGAAGCACCGGCUAACUAUGUGCCAGCCGCCGCCGUAA
rnacentral:rRNA from 1 species